AAUAGAUACCCUGGUAGUCCACCCGUAAACGUUGGGAACUAGUUGUGGGGUCCUUUCCACGGAUUCCGUGACGCAGCUAACGCAUUAAGUUCCCCGCCUGGGGAGUACGGCCGCAAGGCUAAAACUCAAAGGAAUUGACGGGGACCCGCACAAGCGGCGGAGCAUGCGGAUUAAUUCGAUGCAACGCGAAGAACCUUACCAAGGCUUGACAUACACCAGAACACCCUAGAAAUAGGGGACUCUUUGGACACUGGUGAACAGGUGGUGCAUGGUUGUCGUCAGCUCGUGUCGUGAGAUGUUGGGUUAAGUCCCGCAACGAGCGCAACCCUCGUUCUAUGUUGCCAGCACGUAAUGGUGGGAACUCAUGGGAUACUGCCGGGGUCAACUCGGAGGAAGGUGGGGAUGACGUCAAAUCAUCAUGCCCCUUAUGUCUUGGGCUUCACGCAUGCUACAAUGGCCGGUACAAAGGGCUGCAAUACCGUGAGGUGGAGCGAAUCCCAAAAAGCCGGUCCCAGUUCGGAUUGAGGUCUGCAACUCGACCUC
rnacentral:rRNA from 1 species